ACUUGAUUACACCCUAGUCUUUCAGGAAGACUUGGGUCUAAUCCAGCAUCAAAUUAAUUCACUACAAAGCAGGGUUUUCCUGCUUUGUUUCAAAUUAAUGCAUUUUUACAUGAGGCAUUGUUUGGACGUCCCAUGUAAAAGUCCAGGAGGGUGUGCAUUUUCCAUCCUGUGUGGAUGCACCCUCAGGGCCCUUCUACACUAUACUACAAUCCAGGAGAAAGCGGGUUAAACCCCGCUUCCUCCUGGAUUUGAGUCUCUACCUCCAACCCAAACCCCGGGUUUUCCCCGGGGGGGGGGGAGUGGUUACCCUACCUGAGAGUACAGGCCUCUCCCUACAGUAUUCCUGGAGUAAGAAAAUGAUGCAUCAGGAGAGGGGGAAAUCACUCCUCUCCCCAACCUCCUGAUGCAGCAUUUUCUCAUGCCAAGAGUACUGUAGGGUGAGGCCUGUGCUGCCAGCAACCUCUCUGGUAACUUUUGGGGCCCAAAUUGUAUGUGUGUGUGUGGGGGGGGGGGGCUGGAGGGGAGAGAGUGGGCUCCAUUGUGUCCCCACAGGCUUUUUGGACUCUGAAGAAGCAGUAUGGCUGUGGGAACUGACCCCUGUGACUGCAGAAGCCAUCUCAAAAGUCAGUCCCUGCUGGCCCAACACCUCAACAAACCCAGACCUUUCGUUUUGUGCAGAUGUCCCUGAAAGACGUGAGCAACUGUAGAUACCGCCCUGGAUAUUUCAUUUGCAUCAUUGCCCAUGCUGAAUUGGUCAUCACACUCGUACACCAUCAUGUCAGGCAAAGAUGGGCAUCGGGAGCUGGAGCUGACAGAGGGAACUCAUCUGCGCUCUCCACGGAUUCGAACCGGCAACCUUCAGUUCCGCAGUUACAAUUCUGGUCUACCUCCCUCAGGACAUCAUAA
rnacentral:lncRNA from 11 species